AAGGGUUUGAUCCUGGCUCAGAUUGAACGCUGGCGGCAGGCCUAACACAUGCAAGUCGAGCGGAUGAAGGGAGCUUGCUCCUGGAUUCAGCGGCGGACGGGUGAGUAAUGCCUAGGAAUCUGCCUGGUAGUGGGGGAUAACGUCCGGAAACGGGCGCUAAUACCGCAUACGUCCUGAGGGAGAAAGUGGGGGAUCUUCGGACCUCACGCUAUCAGAUGAGCCUAGGUCGGAUUAGCUAGUUGGUGGGGUAAAGGCCUACCAAGGCGACGAUCCGUAACUGGUCUGAGAGGAUGAUCAGUCACACUGGAACUGAGACACGGUCCAGACUCCUACGGGAGGCAGCAGUGGGGAAUAUUGGACAAUGGGCGAAAGCCUGAUCCAGCCAUGCCGCGUGUGUGAAGAAGGUCUUCGGAUUGUAAAGCACUUUAAGUUGGGAGGAAGGGCAGUAAGUUAAUACCUUGCUGUUUUGACGUUACCAACAGAAUAAGCACCGGCUAACUUCGUGCCAGCAGCCGCGGUAAUACGAAGGGUGCAAGCGUUAAUCGGAAUUACUGGGCGUAAAGCGCGCGUAGGUGGUUCAGCAAGUUGGAUGUGAAAUCCCCGGGCUCAACCUGGGAACUGCAUCCAAAACUACUGAGCUAGAGUACGGUAGAGGGUGGUGGAAUUUCCUGUGUAGCGGUGAAAUGCGUAGAUAUAGGAAGGAACACCAGUGGCGAAGGCGACCACCUGGACUGAUACUGACACUGAGGUGCGAAAGCGUGGGGAGCAAACAGGAUUAGAUACCCUGGUAGUCCACGCCGUAAACGAUGUCGACUAGCCGUUGGGGAUCCUUGAGAUCUUAGUGGCGCAGCUAACGCGAUAAGUCGACCGCCUGGGGGAGUACGGCC
rnacentral:rRNA from 1 species